rnacentral:lncRNA from 13 species
CCUAUACCAUGUCAGAUAUAGAGUUGAAAUGUAUUACUUUAUGAGUUUGCAUACCAAUAUUACACUUUAUAUAAGUCACAGAAGACUGAAAUAUAACAAAACCGUUUGACAUAGAAAAAAAAAAAAAAAAACGAAGACAAAAGCACACACACACACACACACACACACACACACUUUUACACUAAUCGUUUGCUGCUGCUACUCUGUUCCUUAUUUUACUCUUACUAUUAUCUAUCCUGAUGUCUAGUCACUUUACCCUGCCUUCAUGUACAUAUCUACCUCAAAUACCUUAUUAUUAUCUAUCAUGAUGUCUAGUCACUUUACCCUGCCUUCAUGUACAUAUCUACCUCAAAUACCUUAUUAUUAUCUAUCCUGAUGCCUAGUCACUUUACCCUGCCUUCAUGUACUGUACAUAUCUACCUCAAAUACCUUAUUAUUAUCUAUCCUGAUAUCUAGUCACUUUACCCUGCCUUCAUGUACAUAUCUACCU